GAAGGGUGCAGGCGUUAAUCGGAAUUACUGGGCGUAAAGGGUGUGUAGGUGGCCUGUUAAGUCUGUCGUGAAAGCCCUGGGCUCAACCUGGGAAUGGCGGUGGAUACUGGUGGGCUCGAGUACGGUAGAGGGUGGUGGAAUUCCCGGUGUAGCGGUGAAAUGCGUAGAGAUCGGGAGGAACAUCAGUGGCGAAGGCGGCCACCUGGACCAGUACUGACACUGAGACACGAAAGCGUGGGGAGCAAACAGGAUUAGAUACCCUGGUAGUCCACGCCCUAAACGAUGCGAACUGGACGUUGGUUGCAACUUGGCAAUCAGUGUCGAAGCUAACGCGUUAAGUUCGCCGCCUGGGGAGUACGGUCGCAAGACUG
rnacentral:rRNA from 1 species